GACGAACGCUGGCGGCGUGCUUAACACAUGCAAGUCGAACGGAAAGGCCCUGCCUUUGUGGGGUGCUCGAGUGGCGAACGGGUGAGUAACACGUGAGUAACCUGCCCUUGACUUUGGGAUAACUUCAGGAAACCGGGGCUAAUACCGGAUAGGAGCUCCUGCUGCAUGGUGGGGGUUGGAAAGUUUCGGCGGUUGGGGAUGGACUCGCGGCUUAUCAGCUUGUUGGUGGGGUAGUGGCUUACCAAGGCUUUGACGGGUAGCCGGCCUGAGAGGGUGACCGGCCACAUUGGGACUGAGAUACGGCCCAGACUCCUACGGGAGGCAGCAGUGGGGAAUAUUGCACAAUGGGCGGAAGCCUGAUGCAGCAACGCCGCGUGCGGGAUGACGGCCUUCGGGUUGUAAACCGCUUUCGCCUGUGACGAAGCGUGAGUGACGGUAAUGGGUAAAGAAGCACCGGCUAACUACGUG
rnacentral:rRNA from 1 species